rnacentral:rRNA from 1 species
UACAGAGGGGGCUAGCGUUAUUCGGAAUUAUUGGGCGUAAAGGGCGCGUAGGCGGCUGGGCAAGUCUAAGGUGAAAUCCCUCGGCUCAACUGAGGAACUGCCUUGGAAACUGCCCGGCUUGAGGCCGGGAGAGGGUAGUGGAAUUCCCAGUGUAGCGGUGAAAUGCGUAGAUAUUGGGAGGAACACCGGUGGCGAAGGCGGCUACCUGGACCGGUUCUGACGCUGAUGCGCGAAAGCGUGGGGAGCAAAC